rnacentral:rRNA from 1 species
AAGUUAGCAGGCGGACGGGUAGAGUAACACGUGGGUAACCUGCCCAUAAGACUGGGAUAACUCCGGGAAACCGGGGCUAAUACCGGAUAACAUUUUGAACCGCAUGGUUCGAAAUUGAAAGGCGGCUUCGGCUGUCACUUAUGGAUGGACCCGCGUCGCAUUAGCUAGUUGGUGAGGUAACGGCUCACCAAGGCAACGAUGCGUAGCCGACCUGAGAGGGUGAUCGGCCACACUGGGACUGAGACACGGCCCAGACUCCUACGGGAGGCAGCAGUAGGGAAUCUUCCGCAAUGGACGAAAGUCUGACGGAGCAACGCCGCGUGAGUGAUGAAGGCUUUCGGGUCGUAAAACUCUGUUGUUAGGGAAGAACAAGUGCUAGUUGAAUAAGCUGGCACCUUGACGGUACCUAACCAGAAAGCCACGGCUAACUACGUGCCAGCAGCCGCGGUAAUACGUAGGUGGCAAGCGUUAUCCGGAAUUAUUGGGCGUAAAGCGCGCGCAGGUGGUUUCUUAAGUCUGAUGUGAAAGCCCACGGCUCACCCGUGGAGGGUCAUUGGAAACUGGGAGACUUGAGUGCAGAAGAGGAAAGUGGAAUUCCAUGUGUAGCGGUGAAAUGCGUAGAGAUAUGGAGGAACACCAGUGGCGAAGGCGACUUUCUGGUCUGUAACUGACACUGAGGCGCGAAAGCGUGGGGAGCAAACAGGAUAGAUACCCUGGGUAGUCCACGCCGUAAACGAUGAGUGCUAAGUGUUAGAGGGUUUCCGCCCUUCUAGUGCUGAAG